rnacentral:rRNA from 1 species
GACGAACGCUGGCGGCGCGCCUAACACAUGCAAGUCGAACGGAGUUUCCCCUUCGGGGGGAGCUUAGUGGCGGACGGGUGAGUAACACGUGAGGAACCUGCCUUUGAGAGCGGGAUACCGUCUGGAAACGGACGUUAAUACCGCAUAAUGCAGCGAGGCCACAUGGCCAUGCUGCCAAAGAUUUAUCGCUCAAAGAUGGCCUCGCGCCUGAUUAGAUAGUUGGUAGGGUAACGGCCUACCAAGGCGACGAUCAGUAGGGGCGUGAGAGCGUGGUCCCCCACACGGGUACUGAGACACGGACCCGACUCCUACGGGAGGCAGCAGUGGGGAAUUUUGGACAAUGGGCGCAAGCCUGAUCCAGCCAUGCCGCGUGCAGGAUGAAGGCCCUAUGGGUUGUAAACUUCUUUUAGAUGAGAAGAAAAUGCUAGAUGUAUCUGGUACUGACGGUACCAUCAGAAUAAGCACCGGCUAACUCCGUGCCAGCAGCCGCGGU